CGUAAACUGGCUCCCGGCAGACUCCGCCCUCCAAGCCAGUGGAAUAUGUGUCAGACCCCAACCGCCUGCAGAGUUUCCAGCGUGAAGGGAGCUCCCCUUCUAAGCAAGCAACCGCUUGGAGAUGAUCCAUUUUUGGAAACAUCCACAUUCAGUGACCCAACUGCAUUGCUAAAAUACGUGAACCAGUAAAAGGUGUCAGCAUCACUGCUCUGCAAUGCUCUAAGAGGCAGGUUACUUGGUCGUACAUGGUCUUUGGUGAUUUGCAGAAAGAAUUUCAACUCACUUCACUGCCAGUUGGUGCCUGUGUAACAGCAUAAAGGUAAGAUACAGUUGUAGUUUUCCUUGUUGGCAAGUGAUGAGACUUAUUUGUUUGUUCUCCAAUGAUCAUGUGGACUUAUGUUGAGGAUUACUGCUAGAAACUAAUAACCAAAUGUGUAACUUGCGUAACCUUAUUACUGUGCUGUGAAGAGAGGGGGAAAGAAUUCACCAAGGCAUGGGAGGAGUUAUACACACUUAAAGUUCUCCGUGUACAUUUUAAAACGUGACUUAGGACUUCAGGGAUAACAGCUGAUCAUUUUCAAACUUCAGACUGGAGAAAUGCUUGUGCUUUAACACAGGUUAAAAUCUUUGGAAAGGCAAGAUGAUUAUGGUCUUUAAAUGCAAAAAGAUUACCCACAUUUUCAAUGACAGCUUAAAUGAAACACACUACAUUUAAUAUAAUUUACAAAACCUAGUUCCAGUUAACUAUGGAUGCAUGUAUCUCCUGUAAUUCUAAUUGCACAUCAGACUAACUUUUCCUGCAGGAAUCAAGUAUUGCAAGGCCAAUAUAGAAACAACAUGGUGCUCAUCUGCUCUGGUGUACUAGGAUGAAAUAGCAUAUUGACCCUGAAUCUAUACUCUGAGUAAAAGCAAUUGUCAUUCUGCCACUGUAACACCUUGUUGCCAGUGGCGAUGUAAUUAAAGCUGUGAGGACUCAUUUUCCAUUCUUAUCUCUUAAGUUCCUCUGAAUCAGAAACUGUUUGUCUGUGGUAACUGAGAAAACCUACUAGAAGGCUACAUGUUUAUGUAUGAAUUUUGGUAGCUUUUCCUUUUUAGGGGGCUGAAGUUAUAUACAUAAUUAUGACAUUCAUCCAAAUAAUGUGUAUAUACAAAUGUUGAUAUGUAUGUG
rnacentral:lncRNA from 1 species